UACCGCAAACCGACACAGGUGGGCAGGUAGAAGAUACUAAGGCGCUUGAGAGAACUCAGGAGAAGGAAGUUGGCUUAGGAGCAGCCCCCCUUUAAAGAAAACGUAAUAGCUCACUGAUCGAGUCGGCCUGCGCGGAAGAUUCAACGGGGCUCAAGCGGUAUACCGAAGCUGCGGGUGUGUAGCGAUACACGCGGUAGGGGAGCGUUCCGUACGCCUGUGAAGGUGGAUCGUAAGGUCUGCUGGAGGUAUCGGAAGUGCGAAUGCUGACAUGAGUAACGAUCAUCAAGGUGAAAAACCUUGACGCCGAAAGCCCAAGGUUUCCUGCGCAACGUUAAUCGGCGCAGGGUGAGUCGGCCCCUAAGGCGAGGCAGAAAUGCGUAGUCGAUGGGAAACGGGUUAAUAUUCCCGUACUUUGCUGAACUGCGAUGGGGGGACGGAGUAGGCUAGGCCAGCCGGGUGUUGGUAGUCCCGGUUCAAGCGUGUAGGCAGGUCCUUUAGGCAAAUCCGGAGGAUCAAUGCUCAGACGUGAUAACGAGUGCUUCGGCACGAAGUGGUUGAUGCCAUGCUUCCAGGAAAAGCCUCUAAGCUUCAGGUUCAGUGAAACCGUACCCGAAACCGACACAGGUGGGCAGGGUGAGAAUCCCAAGGCGCUUGAGAGAACUCGGGUGAAGGAACUCGGCAAAAUAGUACCGUAACUUCGGGAUAAGGUACGCCCGCGUAGGGUGAAGUCCGCACGGACGGAGCCCCAACGGGCCGCAGUGACCAGGCCGCUGCGACUGUUUACUAAAAACACAGCACUCUGCAAACACGAAAGUGGACGUAUAGGGUGUGACGCCUGCCCGGUGCCGGAAGGUUAAUUGAUGGGGUCAGCCGCAAGGUGAAGCUCUUGAUCGAAGCCCCGGUAAACGGCGGCCGUAACUAUAACGGUCCUAAGGUAGCGAAAUUCCUUGUCGGGUAAGUUCCGACCUGCACGAAUGGCGUAACGCUGGCCCUACUGUCUCGACCAGAGACUCAGUGAAGUUGAAAUCGCUGUGAAGAUGCGGCGAUCCCGCGGAAAGACGGAAAGACCCCGUGAACCUUUACUACAGCUUUACACUGGACUUUGAGUCUUCUUGUGUAGGAUAGGUGGGAGGCUAUGAAGCGCGGACGCCAGUUCGCGUGGAGCCAUCCUUGAAAUACCACCCUGGAAUACUUGAGGUUCUAACCUCGGCCCGUGAUCCGGGUCAGGGACAGUGUAUGGUGGGUAGUUUGACUGGGGCGGUCUCCUCCCAAAGAGUAACGGAGGAGUGCGAAGGUACCCUCAGCGCGGUCGGAAAUCGCGCACUGAGUGCAAAGGCAUAAGGGUGCUUGACUGCGAGACAGACACGUCGAGCAGGUGCGAAAGCAGGUCUUAGUGAUCCGGUGGUUCUGUAUGGAAGGGCCAUCGCUCAACGGAUAAAAGGUACUCCGGGGAUAACAGGCUGAUUCCGCCCAAGAGUCCAUAUCGACGGCGGAGUUUGGCACCUCGAUGUCGGCUCAUCACAUCCUGGGGCUGUAGCAGGUCCCAAGGGUAUGGCUGUUCGCCAUUUAAAGUGGUACGCGAGCUGGGUUUAGAACGUCGUGAGACAGUUCGGUCCCUAUCUGCCGUGGGCGUUGGACGUUUGAGGGGAGCUUCUCCUAGUACGAGAGGACCGGAGUGGACGUACCUCUGGUGUUCCGGUUGUCAUGCCAAUGGCACUGCCGGGUAGCUAUGUACGGACGGGAUAACCGCUGAAAGCAUCUAAGCGGGAAGCCCACCCCAAGAUGAGACGUCCCGAGUCCCUGAGACUCCUGAAGGUCCGUCGAAGACCACGACGUUGAUAGGCAGGGUGUGGAAGCGCAGUAAUGCGUGCAGCUAACCUGUACUAAUUGACCGUGCGGCUUGACCAUAUAACACCCAAGCGCUCUG
rnacentral:rRNA from 1 species